UUCUCUCAAAAAAAAAAGAAGCAGAACCCUCGUCUCGCCCGGUCGCCCCCCUCGCUCAGCGACUCCUCUGCGGCUCUGCUCGACCAAGACACCCAGCCGUCGCGGCAUCUCCGUUCCUCGCGGCUUCGCCGGUCGCCAGCCGGAGCCCGGAGUUCAGCCGUCCAGGAGAUGCCCGCCUCCCCUCUUCCCGGCUUCCUGCCCGGCCGCCCGGUCCAGCCGCGCCCCUGCCCUGCGCGCGGCUGCGCCCCUGCGGACUGCGGUCCCGGCGUCCCGCAUCCUCUUUCUGGCGCCCCGCCGGCCCGGCCGCCCCCCUUCAAAGCCCCACCACGGCGGCAAACCCCUGGCCGAUUUAAGAAUUAGUGAAGAAUGAAGAGGGCCGGAGACAUUGUUUCUCUUUUUCAAAGAGAAGCUAUUAAGAUAGGGAAGAAGAAGAAGGCAGGGACUAUGCCGGAUGUGGCCGAAGAGCAAACCCGAGAACUUUUGUGUACGCAUGUUGUGAUUGAAGAGCAAACUAGAUGGUUGAUAGUCUUUUGGAUGAUUGCCUAGUCACGGACAUUGAGAGGGACGUUUUCUCCCAGAUGAAUGAAGAUGAUAUAAUUGAUACCUUCGUGGCAAUGCAAGAGCGUAGGCCAGAAAAAUAGUCUUUUUGAACUCGUCAAGGUAUGUACUAUGGUCUAGGUAGUAUUUACUAUGUAGGCUUCUUUAUGCAAAAUUAGAAUUUAAUUGAGAAUUUUAGAGUGUUCAUAAGACCAUAUUGCUUUAUGAUAUUGAUAAUUAGCUAGCACGUUCAUAUAACAUAUUGCUUAUGAAAAAAAAAUUGGGGGGCGGACCACCCUGGUGUCAAAUGCUAGCUCCACCACUGCCUCCGGGACUGCUGCAAUGGCCACCUCCUCCUCUCCGGAUCCGACGGUUCACUGUGCAUCUAUGACCCGCUCUCCGAGCGGCGUGUGCCCAUUGGCCCGCGCACGCAUCUUGACCAGCGCUGGAAGUGCCUCGGCGACUGCUUGCUUAACGGCCUUGCCCGCCAUAUGGUCUCCGUGGAGCAACACGGCCAACAGAAGCAUGCCGAGGAGUCCUUGCAGUGGCAGAGCAAUUCCAGAUUCAAUGUAUGAGCCGUUGAGUAUAACUCCGGCACGCUUGAGUGGCGCGUCCACCCACCCACAGACUGGGUGGACGAAGGUUCAGUUGACGAAAUUGCAAUUGAAGGCAAUGUAUGCAGCCGGCCACAUAUUCUGGGAAACUGAUGUCGCCAGAUUGCUGGUGCUUGACACGAGCACCAUGGAGUCCUCAGAGCACGGUGUCCCAUGGGAGAUAGUCUCUACCAGUUGGGCCAUCGGAGAGCUCCGAGACGGCAAGGGCUGCCUCGUGUGCCUCCAAGGCCUCAAUAGCUCCUUCGGCAAAGAUGGCCUCAUAGUGGAGGAACCUCUCCGCCUGGAAGUCUGGGCACUAAAGAAGGAGGAGGAGGAUAAGCAAGGUAAAUUUUGUUGCAAGUGCGAGAAGGGUGUCCGGGUGAGCGAGAUGCUCCCGGAGGACGCUCGCUCGUGUGUGUAGAGUCCACAAGGUCAUCAACGUCUAAUGAAGACAAAGUGUUCAGAUUCCUAGCAAGAACAUGGAUGGCCGCGAAGGCGCCUCUUCUGGUGGAUCGGAAUCUGCAUCUCUCCAAAGUCAACUUCAGGUGGAAUCCCCUAAUGUCAGUGGAUCUAGUGGUAUUGAGGAUGCGUCAUGUGAUGAUGAUAACCAGCGUGCAUUGGCGUCUCUGGGUAUUGGAGAUGCAGUACACACAGAUGCAACAACAGCGGCAGCCAUCAAUGCCGUAGAUUCUCAUGCCAACGAAGAAGCAACUGGUGGCUGGGCAUCUGACGGAAGAACAAAGCUAACUACAACACUUGAGAAAGUAGCACAAGAAGUACACAUCAGCCAGACUCCUUUGAGUUCAGAGCAACAUGAUAUUGGUGAGAAAUCAAGUCAAGAUCUGCAUGGUGGUAGUGCUAGGAUUCAGCCAAUGGAAAAGGACCCGUGUCAUGAUGAACUGACUCUGCAAACGGCUGGUGUUUUCCCUUCUGAAAGCUGUGACGGGGAUAUUCUAGAAGAUAAAUCUGAAACCGACAACCUGACAAAGAAUACUAGAGAAGAUACUGAAAUGUUGGAGCAACAGAAUAGUGAUAAGGCUAACAUACAAGUCAGUUGCGCCAACAAAAUGAGUGAAGUGCUCUAUGAUGAUAAUAACACCUUGGAGAAGAAUACAAUCUGUGGUGGGAAGGUUACUGUAGAGUGCCACUUGGCCUUGUUACACAAUAAAAGUUCAGAAGCUAGGAGUAACGCCAUUUCAUCUCCAAUGCAGAAGAGGCCCUUUGCGUGCCAGAGCCAUGUAAAUGGUUGCACCAUGAGCUAUGACAGUAAGAACAAUUUAGCCAAGCCUUUUAGGGAAGUCCAUGAGCCGAAGAAACGUUUCACACGGAGAUUCGCUGGGUGUCGCGAGGAGUUUUCUUCAAAGAAUGAAAGGAAGAUUCAUGAGGGAUCUAGUGCUCACGUCGAGGUCAACACAAAGCAGCCAUCCCAUACCACAUAGUUUACCUCCUGUACCCAUGCCUUUCUCUUUCAGAAGUUUAUCAGACACACACCAACCGCUUGCCAUUUUGUAGCUUUCCACCAAUAGGAUUAAUUGUGUCAGCACCUCUCCUGCCGGUGGACCAGAAGCCCAUGAAGAGCCCAGGCCCACACAAGUGGUGGGCCUUCGCACAAGCAACUGACCACGUAAACCGAACAAGCUAGUAAGUGGAGACGACUGGGUCAUUUGAUAAGGACGGUUUAAGAAGCUCACAGUGCCAGGAGGAAAGUCAUCGAAGAUCAAUCACGGAUCAUAGUUUAUCUAGGCUCUCAACCCUAAUUAAGCCCCCCAAUUCUUGAUUCUUCUAUUCCGCACAAUUGUGCUUGUAUAAGCUUGUAACCUGAAUCCAGCGUAUUUCCUGAACCCUGUCUAGUGAAUUCAGUGAGUGAACUAGAGCCCAGUUAACAAAAUGCCACUUCAAGGACUGCAGCACGACAUUUACAACGGUGAGACAUAAAUGUACCAAGCAUUACAAGGAACAACAUGAGCAGGGGAGAAGAAAGGACAUAUAUAUCAACAGAGAGCCUUACACAUAUGCGCUGGAGACACAGCAUUGCAGUCUGCACAAGUCUGAAUCUUCUGUGCUUGUGCAGUAUUUUUUGCACAUGUUCUCUGGAUACAGUUGCAGCAGUGUUAAGGGUGAGUUUUUGUGUGUGUGUGUGUGUAACCUGGCAUAAAUUAUGAUGUGUAGUGGUUAUGUUUAGAGCAUGGCUCUAAUUCUUCUUCUAGAUGCAGAUUCUGUUCACUGUGCUGUGUUUUUGCACAAACCACAAACUGAAGCAGAUCGAUGUUCAGAGUUGAUAUGGCCCCUUUCCUGAACAAAAUUAACUUUUUUGUUGAGGGAAACUAAACCUUUAUUUAAACAAAGUUCUCAGAGAUUUCUUGUGUGCGGCCCCAGUUUUUUUUUUCUUUUCAGUUUCCCAUGUCCUGAAACUUCCAGAACCGCCCAGCAUUUUGCAUAUCUCCAACAAGUUUACAAGCCUGAUUAGUUUUAAUUUUGGAAUAUGUCCGCAAGCCUGAUUAGUUUAAUUUUGUAGCUUUCGUCCUCUCCCACUAAUCCGAUAAUUUGCUAGACUAUUUCUUGUACUAGGUUCUGAUGUAACAUGAACUGAUUUCUUUUGGAUCCUGUAGAUUCUGCAGGCAUUUCAAUAUCUUAAGACAGGUUAGCAUCACAAGUUGUUGCCUGUACUGUAGUGAAACAACAUUUAAUGAUCUAGGCACUGCAUAAUUGUUAUACAUUCAUAUUGCAAGCUCCCAUAUCUUAGAACAGCUGCAGGAUGUCAAGGACAAGGAUGUGGCUCUGCCACUGAAGAAGCCUAGCAGCAACCGGAGCUUGACUGGUUCGAGAAAUUUGGCGCCAGUCCACGUCGAGUUGGCUACAUCAUAACACGGCACCGCAAAGAUGUUCAGUUGACUGUUGCAGGUGUAAUAUGUCAGGUUCUUGGUAAGGGUGACCAGUGAAGAGUAAGUAUGCAUAAUCUUUGGUUACAUUCGCAGCUUCUAGCCUCUGGGCCAUGCACAGGUUGUAUCGAUCCAGUUACAGGAGUGUAUGUGGUGGUCGUUUUGUAUAUGGCUGGAAUUAUAUGAAGUAGUAUGCUGAGUUUAACACUGUAGCGUUGCUUAAUUACAUCAAGUUGGUAUUAUCAUCGUGGAUUGUAGCAUCGAUCAAUGUUCAGAAUUAAUAUGGUUCUGCUACUAGUGUUCAUUGACUGUCAGCACAUUGCUCUUCUGAAACGCAAGUGGACGAACUGUUAAAUAGUUUCCUGUGCACCUGUGACGUAGUUUCCCGGCACAUUCAUCCAUGUUUUGGAUUUUACCACAGUAUUUUAUACCUCCUGGCCUUGGUUGGUCAGAGUCUCUAAUUUCCUACAUGUUUGCAUGUUUUGUUACAAUUUAGUGAGGUAAUUAAUGAGAAGUGGAUUCAGGUAUGAUCUAUACUUUCAUGGCAAAUCCCGAACCUCUUUUAAGUCAUAUGUUUGCACUAAGUUUUUUUAGUUUGUGUCCCAACAUAUUUUCCUAAUUUUAUCUUAUUGGACAGGUGAUAUUUGCAUAAAUCCAUCAUUGUUCUCAAUUAUUAUUUAAAAAAUGGCCACUCAUCUUCCUAUAGUUCAAGUCCCUUAAUCCGUUCCUUGUCCAAGUAGAUGCUUGUAGUUGAACCACUCUGAUAUACAGUAUUACUGAAUACUUGCUUGUAGUUGUAGAUGCUUAUGUAAAUAUAAUAUCCUGUCGAUGUAUUUGCGUAAUCUUGGAUACUUUUGUGUUGGUUACAAGGAAACAAAUGAGAUUAGAAAACCGUGCGACAAUUUUUUUUUGUUACUGAUUAGAAAUAUGACAAGGUCUGUCCUACUAUUGCACAGACGACAAACUGAAGCAGGUCGAUGUUCAGAGUUGAUACGGCUCUUUUCGUGAAAAUAUUACGUGGACAAACUUUUUGCAAAGUUCCGAACCACCCAGCACUCUACACCUCUUGGAGAGUCCUUGGUUGGUCUGAACCUGAGCCUGCGGUGACCUUCUGACAGGUUGACAAGUUAUUAUGGCAGCCGAGAGGGGCACUCAAUGAGAGUUAGUAGUUGGAUUAUGGUCGCAAGCCUGAUCGAUCAGUCUAUCUUGUUGAUCAAACUGCCACAGCAUAUUCCUCUUCUUGAAUUUUUCAAAUUUUGUUCUGGUAUCUUUCUUCAUUCAUUACUACGUAUCUUGACAUUUUUUUUCCUUUAUUCAACAAGAGGAUGUACCCUCCGACCUCUGUAUCCAGCAAUGCACAUAGCUGGUUAACCUUAUGAGUUUAUGACCA